rnacentral:rRNA from 1 species
UUCCUGCUCAGGAAUGACCGCGGGCGGCGUGCUUAACACUGCAAAGUCGANCGGGAUCCACCGGGGUUUUGCUGGUGGUGAGAGUGCGAAACGGGUGAGUAAUGCGUGACCGACCUGCCCCCAUACACNGGNAUAGCUCUGGAAACGGGUGGUAAUGCCGGAUGCUCCAGUGNAUCGCAUGUUCUUCUGGGAAAGCUUUCGCGGUAUGGGAUGGGGUCGCGUCCUAUCAGCUUGACGGCGGGGUAACGGCCCACCGUGGCUUCGACGGGUAGCCGGCCUGAGAGGGCGACCGGCCACAUUGGGACUGAGAUACGGCCCAGACUCCUACGGGAGGCAGCAGUGGGGAAUAUUGCACAAUGGGCGCAAGCCUGAUGCAGCGACGCCGCGUGAGGGAUGGAGGCCUUCGGGUUGUAAACCUCUUUUAUCGGGGAGCAAGCGAGAGUGAGUUUACCCGUUGAAUAAGCACCGGCUAACUACGUGCCAGCAGCCGCGGUAAUACGUAGGGUGCAAGCGUUAUCCGGAAUUAUUGGGCGUAAAGGGCUCGUAGGCGGUUCGUCGCGUCCGGUGUGAAAGUCCAUCGCUUAACGGUGGAUCCGCGCCGGGUACGGGCGGGCUGGAGUGCGGUAGGGGAGACUGGAAUUCCCGGUGUAACGGUGGAAUGUGUAGAUAUCGGGAAGAACACCAAUGGCGAAGGCAGGUCUCUGGGCCGUUACUGACGCUGAGGAGCGAAAGCGUGGGGAGCGAACAGGAUUAGAUACCCUGGUAGUCCACGCCGUAAACGGUGGAUGCUGGAUGUGGGGCCCGUUCCACGGGUUCCGUGUCGGAGCUAACGCGUUAAGCAUCCCGCCUGGGGAGUACGGCCGCAAGGCUAAAACUCAAAGAAAUUGACGGGGGCCCGCACAAGCGGCGGAGCAUGCGGAUUAAUUCGAUGCAACGCGAAGAACCUUACCUGGGCUUGACAUGUUCCCGACCGCUCCAGAGAUGGGGCUUCCCUUCGGGGCGGGUUCACAGGUGGUGCAUGGUCGUCGUCAGCUCGUGUCGUGAGAUGUUGGGUUAAGUCCC